rnacentral:rRNA from 1 species
UCGAGCGAAUGGAUUAAGAGCUUGCUCUUAUGAAGUUAGCGGCGGACGGGUGAGUAACACGUGGGUAACCUGCCCAUAAGACUGGGAUAACUCCGGGAAACCGGGGCUAAUACCGGAUAACAUUUUGAACCGCAUGGUUCGAAAUUGAAAGGCGGCUUCGGCUGUCACUUAUGGAUGGACCCGCGUCGCAUUAGCUAGUUGGUGAGGUAACGGCUCACCAAGGCAACGAUGCGUAGCCGACCUGAGAGGGUGAUCGGCCACACUGGGACUGAGACACGGCCCAGACUCCUACGGGAGGCAGCAGUAGGGAAUCUUCCGCAAUGGACGAAAGUCUGACGGAGCAACGCCGCGUGAGUGAUGAAGGCUUUCGGGUCGUAAAACUCUGUUGUUAGGGAAGAACAAGUGCUAGUUGAAUAAGCUGGCACCUUGACGGUACCUAACCAGAAAGCCACGGCUAACUACGUGCCAGCAGCCGCGGUAAUACGUAUGUGGCAAGCGUUAUCCGGAAUUAUUGGGCGUAAAGCGCGCGCAGGUGGUUUCUUAAGUCUGAUGUGAAAGCCCACGGCUCACCGUGGAGGG